UGUCUGUAAACAAUUGUUGGAAAAAUUAUUUGUGUCGUGUACUUUUGUGUAUUUCAGGAAAUAUUCUAUUGGGUUCCUCAAAAUGGAUGGUGUCGAUCGAGAGGAGAGUGGUCUGUGUUUUGGACAGUAAGUCCAACUUUGCUGCUGCCCUCUCUGUGCUCUUCAGCACUUUCUAUGUUUUUAACAUAGAAUAACAGGAGUUGGCCUCUGCAACCUUGGAGCUGAUAGAGGUUCCUGGUUUGAAUAAACCCUUAAGGAACCAAAUGCACAGCGAAAGCAGGAGUGAGCCGCAAGACCGGAAAGGUCGUUCAGAGGAAGUCAUUGCCAAUUGACCAAGAUGUUACACGCUUUCUCGCAGACCUGAAGGAGUUUGAUAGGAAAAACUCCAACAUUUGAUGUAUCAGAGCUAAGGAGGAUCAGAGUUUCAAAAAUGGGGGUGAUAACCUGCACGCCACCGAGAUUUAUUCGAGACUUGUUUGCAUCUCUCAUUCUCUCAGAAAUCCUGCCAUGUGGGUUGGGUCAGCAAAUGAUCUGUUUGCUCCAUCCCGGAGCCUGUGUUGUCUUGAGGUAGCAUGCUUCUCUGGCUCCAGUCUAGCCCUGCUCUCUCCUCUCUAUCCACUUUUCUCUCAGCCCCUUUCUCUCUCGAUCUCUCUCUCUCUCUCGUUUCUCUCUCAACGACAGCCAGGCAAGCAGUUCUUGUUAUUGUUUUUUGUAAAAAUGUCUCCCUGUUCAACUGUUGUUUCCCUAUUUUUCAUUGAUCUGUUUAGAGAUUUUUUAAAUCUUACAUAAUCCUGUAUUUUUAAGAAUGACCUAUUCUGAUGUUUUGGUUUGUGUAUGGUGAAGUACAUUACUGACCAUUAUUUGUCAAUGUUCUUAUCAUUGUAUCUCUUUCUCUCUCUCUCCCCUACUAUCUGGAGUUGUAAUGUUGCUCUUUUCAAAUGUUGUU